UACGAAGGGGGCUAGCGUUGUUCGGAAUCACUGGGCGUAAAGGGCGCGUAGGCGGCCUUCUAAGUCGAACGUGAAAUCCCUGGGCUCAACCCAGGAACUGCGUCCGAUACUGGAAGGCUUGAAUCCGGGAGAGGGAUGCGGAAUUCCAGGUGUAGCGGUGAAAUGCGUAGAUAUCUGGAGGAACACCGGUGGCGAAGGCGGCAUCCUGGACCGGUAUUGACGCUGAGGCGCGAAAGCCAGGGGAGCAAACGGG
rnacentral:rRNA from 1 species